rnacentral:lncRNA from 1 species
AAAAACCAAAGAAGGAUAUUAUCAACAAUAUCAUAGGAGGACAAAACCAACAACAAUAACACAACAUUUGACAUAUAUCAACAAAAAAGACAACACAAAUCGCGUAACAUCAUCAACAAAAAGAUAAAAAAAACAAAAAACACAGUGGCAUAACUAAACAUUAACAACAUAGGGCAAAAACAUAACAACAUAACUAAACAUUGACAAUAUAAUUUAAAUAUUAUUGACAUAUAUAAAUGAACUUAGAGAAAAAAAC